CACGUAGGGGACGAGCGUUGUCCGGAUUCAUUGGGCGUAAAGCGCGCGUAGGCGGCUCGGAAAGUCGGUCGUGAAAUGCCGGGGCUCAACCCCGGGACUGCGUCCGAUACUUCCGGGCUGGAGGUAGGUAGGGGAGAUCGGAAUUCCUGGUGUAGCGGUGAAAUGCGCAGAUAUCAGGAGGAACACCGGUGGCGAAGGCGGAUCUCUGGACAAGUAUUGACGCUGAGGUGCGAAAGCGUGGGGAGCAAACAGG
rnacentral:rRNA from 1 species